UUAACGGCGAGUGAAGCGGCAACAGCUCAGAUUUGGAAUCUGGCCCCCCCCCGGGGGCCCGAGUUGUAAUCUGGAGAGGAUGCUUCUGGCGCGGCGCCUGGCGAGUUCCCUGGAACGGGACGCCGGAGAGGGUGAGAGCCCCGUACUCCAGGACGCCCAGCCUCUGCGAAGCUCCUUCGACGAGUCGAGUAGUUUGGGAAUGCUGCUCUAAACGGGAGGUAAAUUUCUUCUAAAGCUAAAUACCGGCCAGAGACCGAUAGCGCACAAGUAGAGUGAUCGAAAGAUGAAAAGCACUUUGAAAAGAGGGUCAAACAGUACGUGAAAUUGUUGAAAGGGAAGCGCCCGUGGCCAGACUUGCGCCCCGCGGCCCACCCGGCGGACCCCGCCGGGGCACGCCGCGGGGCGCAGGCCAGCAUCGGCUCUCCUAGGGGGACAAGGACGGCGGGAACGUGGCUCCCUCGGGAGUGUUAUAGCCCGCCGCGCCAUGCCCCUGGGGGGGCCGAGAACCGCGCUUCGGCAAGGAUGCUGGCGUAAG
rnacentral:rRNA from 2 species